GACGAACGCUGGCGGCGUGCUUAACACAUGCAAGUCGAACGGAAAGGCCUUUUCGGAGGUACUCGAGUGGCGCACGGGUGAGUAACACGUGGGUGAUCUGCCCUGCACUCUGGGAUAAGCCUGGGAAACUGGGUCUAAUACCGGAUAGGACCGCACUUUAGUGUGUGUGGUGGAAAGUUUUUUCGGUGUAGGAUGAGCCCGCGGCCUAUCAGCUUGUUGGUGGGGUAAUGGCCUACCAAGGCGGCGACGGGUAGCCGGACUGAGAGGUUGGUCGGCCACAUUGGGACUGAGAUACGGCCCAGACUCCUACGGGAGGCAGCAGUGGGGAAUAUUGCACAAUGGGCGCAAGCCUGAUGCAGCGACGCCGCGUGGGGGAUGACGGCCUUCGGGUUGGAAACUCCUUUCGCCAGGGACGAAGCGUUUUGUGACGGUACCUGGAGAAGAAGCACCGGCUAACUACGUG
rnacentral:rRNA from 1 species